rnacentral:rRNA from 1 species
GACGAACGCUGGCGGCGUGCCUAAUACAUGCGAGUCGAGCGAGCGGAACUAACAGAUUUACUUCGGUAAUGACGUUAGGAAAGCGAGCGGCGGAUGGGUGAGUAACACGUGGGGAACCUGCCCCAUAGUCUGGGAUACCACUUGGAAACAGGUGCUAAUACCGGAUAAGAAAGCAGAUCGCAUGAUCAGCUUUUAAAAGGCGGCGUAAGCUGUCGCUAUGGGAUGGCCCCGCGGUGCAUUAGCUAGUUGGUAAGGUAAAGGCUUGCCAAGGCGAUGAUGCAUAGCCGAGUUGAGAGACUGAUCGGCCACAUUGGGACUGAGACACGGCCCAAACUCCUACGGGAGGCAGCAGUAGGGAAUCUUCCACAAUGGACGCAAGUCUGAUGGAGCAACGCCGCGUGAGUGAAGAAGGUUUUCGGAUCGUAAAGCUCUGUUGUUGGUGAAGAAGGAUAGAGGUAGUAACUGGCCUUUAUUUGACGGUAAUCAACCAGAAAGUCACGGCUAACUACGUG